GAUGAAGAACGUAGCAAACUGCGAUAAGUAAUGUGAAUUGCAGAAUUCAGUGAAUCAUCGAAUCUUUGAACGCACAUUGCGCCCGCCAGCAUUCUGGCGGGCAUGCCUGUUCGAGCGUCAUUUCAACCCUCGAGCCCCCCCGGGGGCCUCGGUGUUGGGGGACGGCACACCAGCCGCCCCCGAAAUGCAGUGGCGACCCCGCCGCAGCCUCCCCUGCGUAGUAGCACACACCUCGCACCGGAGCGCGGAGGCGGUCACGCCGUAAAACGCCCAACUUUCUUAGAGUUGACCUCGGAUCAGGUAGGAAUACCCGCUGAACUUAAGCAUAUCAAUAAGCGGAGGA
rnacentral:misc_RNA from 1 species